GACGAACGCUGGCGGCGUGCUUAACACAUGCAAGUCGAACGGAAAGGCCCUGCUGUUGUGGGGUGCUCGGAUGGGGAACGGGUGAGUAACACGUGCUUAACCUGCCCUUGACUUUGGGAUAACUUCAUGGAACUGGGGCUGAUAGCGGAUAGGAGCUCCUGCGGCAGGGUGGGGGUUGGAAUUUUUCGGCGGUUGGGGAUGGACGCGCGGCUUAUCAGCUUGUUGGUGGGGUAGUGGCUUACCAAGGCUUUGACGGGUAGCCGGCCUGAGAGGGUGACCGGCCACAUUGGGACUGAGAUACGGCCCAGACUCCUACGGGAGGCAGCAGUGGGGAAUAUUGCACAAUGGGCGGAAGCCUGACGCAGCAACGCCGCGUGCGGGAUGACGGCCUUCGGGUUGUAAACCGCUUUCGCCUGUGACGAAGCGUGAGUGACGGUAAUGGGUAAAGAAGCACCGGCUAACUACGUG
rnacentral:rRNA from 1 species